rnacentral:rRNA from 1 species
UACGUAGGGUCCGAGCGUUGUCCGGAAUUAUUGGGCGUAAAGAGCUCGUAGGCGGUUUGUCGCGUCUGCUGUGAAAUCUCGAGGCUCAACCUCGGGUCUGCAGUGGGUACGGGCAGACUGGAGUGCGGUAGGGGAGAAUGGAAUUCCUGGUGUAGCGGUGGAAUGCGCAGAUAUCAGGAGGAACACCGAUGGCGAAGGCAGUUCUCUGGGCCGUAACUGACGCUGAGGAGCGAAAGCGUGGGGAGCGAACAGG